CACGCAGGGUGCGAGCGUUGUCCGGAAUUAUUGGGCGUAAAGAGCUCGUAGGCGGUCUGUCGCGUCUGCUGUGAAAACUCAGGGCUUAACCCUGAGCUUGCAGUGGGUACGGGCAGACUAGAGUGCGGUAGGGGAGACUGGAAUUCCGUGGUGUAGCGGUGAAAUGCGUAGAGAUCGGGAGGAACAUCAGUUGCGAAGGCGGCUCUCUGGACCAGCACUGACACUGAGGCACGAAAGCGUGGGGAGCAAACAGG
rnacentral:rRNA from 1 species